GGGGCUGGGGCACAGUGGUAGUGCACUUGCUUCGCACGCAUGAGGCACUGGGUUCAAUCCUCAGCACCA
rnacentral:tRNA from 1 species